AGCUAUGUUGAGACGCGGCAUACGGCUCAGUAACACGUGGCUAACCUACCCUCAGGACGGGGACAAACCCGGGAAACUGGGGCUAAUAUCCGAUAGGUGAGGAUGCCUGGAAUGGUUUCUCACUCAAAGGGCUUUAGAAACAUGCUUUUAAAGUCGCCUGGGGAUGGGGCCGCGACCGAUCAGGUUGUUGGUGAGGUAAUGGCUCACCAAGCCUAUAACCGGUACGGGCCGUGAGAGCGGUAGCCCGGAGAUGGGUACUGAGACAAGGACCCAGGCCCUACGGGGCGCAGCAGUCGCGAAAACUCCGCAAUGCACGAAAGUGUGACGGGGCUACCCCGAGUGCCAUCCGCUGAGGAUGGCUUUUCCUUGGUAUAACUAGCCAGGGGAAUAAGGAGAGGGCAAGACUGGUGUCAGCCGCCGCGGUAAUACCAGCUCUCCGAGUGGUAGGGAUGAUUAUUGGGCUUAAAGCGUCCGUAGCCGGCUUAGCAAGUCUCCUGUUAAAUUCAGCGACCUAAUCGUUGAGCCGCGGGAGAUACUACUAGGCUAGGAGGCGGGAGAGGUCGACGGUACUUCUGGGGUAGGGGUGAAAUCCUAUAAUCCCGGGAGGACCACCAGUGGCGAAGGCUGUCGACUAGAACGCGCUCGACGGUGAGGGACGAAAGCUGGGGGAGCGAACCGGAUUAGAUACCCGGGUAGUCCCAGCCGUAAACGAUGCGGGCUAGGUGUUGGGGUGGCUACGUGCCACUUCAGUGCCGCAGGGAAGCCAUUAAGCCCGCCGCCUGGGGAGUACGGCCGCAAGGCUGAAACUUAG
rnacentral:rRNA from 1 species